rnacentral:misc_RNA from 1 species
AAAGUGCGACAAGUGUCAUGACUUGCAGAUACCCGAGAGCUGACAAAUUUCUGAAUGCAAAUUGCAGCCAACUUAACCUGGCUAUGCAUUGCAGAGAGUACUUCGCUUAUGCGCUUCAUCCAGUGAUGUUUUCAACACACACAUCGCUGGGACAUGCGAUUGCGUGAUUUCAAAACUUCACACCGCAUUACACACACACAAUGCACUCUUAAUGUGUGUGUUGUUGUGUAAUGUUGUGUGUCCGCGAUCGUCAAAGGAAGAAAACCUUCGAGUUUUCCUGGAUAAAUAAAUAAAUUCCUCUACCUGAGACGAAAAGACAACUCGUUCUUUCUCUUCUCAACUCUCACCUCUGCAAUGCAGGAGAACCCGCUGAACUUAA